rnacentral:lncRNA from 1 species
ACGCGCCGCACCUCCGCCCCCAAAGGAUCCGGCUGAGGCAUAGCCGCCGCCGCGGGCCUCCUCCCGCAGACCCCGCCGCCGCCGCGGGCCUCCUCCCGCAGACCCCACCGCCGCCGCGGGGCUCAUCCCGCAGACCUGCCGCUGCCGCGAGCUCCCAACCGCGUCGGCGACCUCCUCCCGCAUCCCCGUUGCCGGCCACGCCAACGCGCGUCCCUGCUGGAUCCACCUGAUUCAGCGCACCGUCAUCAACCCCGCCAGCCGCCGCCCCUCCAUCCUUCUUCCCCGGAGCCGGCGGCCGCCUUCUUCCACAGAGCCAGCGGUGGCUCCGCCUUCCUCCACUGGAUGUUCCCCGCGGUCAUCAACUGCACCGUUGGUGUGCUCACUGGCUAUGAGAAAUAAAGGAACAGCGGUGAGAAAUUUUGUGUUGUAUGAGCUGACGAUGUUUGUUACAGUGCAGGGAAAUCAAAACACUUCGGCUCCUUCCGCAUGAGCAGUCCAUCACCUUGGUCAUGAGCAGUCCAUCGCCUCGCAAGCUAGCAAUUUGUUGCCGAUGCUGCUCCUCUUGAUCACGUAGACCGAGCUGCUGCUUUGUCGAUUGGCCGUCCUGCACCCUGUCGCCGGCUCCCUCGAGCUCUGCCGCCCUUCUGGUCCAUCCUCUGCCCAUGAACCGCUGGACCCCGAGCUCGACUAGCCUUAGUCGUGUGUGCGAGUAUGCACUGGUGCGCUCUGUUUUUAGUGUGUUCGUGUGUGCGAGCACUGUUUUGGCUGCGUACGUGUGUGGUGUUGUGUUGGAAAGUUCAGCUAUUGUAUCUCGGAAAGAUCUAAUUUAUUUUCAGUAAGGAUACUGCCUCAAUGCCUUCUUAAAUCAAACAUUUAGCUUGCUAUAUGCGUUUGGAGAAAAGCAUAAACAAGAUAAUGCAAAAACCGGCACUGGUUGGAUAAGCUGAGAGAAGAUGCUAAUUUUGUGGUGGAGAAUUGUAGUGACGCCAAGUUAGUGCUUGUUUUGCGUAUAAAACAUGAUUAAGUGCAUGUAAUUACUGUAUGACCAGGCCACUGGAGAUUUUAUUUUGUAGGUGUGCAGUGUCUUUUCGCUACUGAUCCUUAUGGUCAAUGAUCUCCAAAUUUUAUUGUCUUUACUCUGCGUGUUUUAUUUUUUAUAUAAAAAGGAAAGAAGUUCAUAUAUACAAAAU